UAGUAGGAGGAAUGACCAGUUAAUCCAGUUAAUCCAGCUCUCCAGUGUACCGCUGGCUCCAGGAGAUUAAGAACCAAAUGAUUGCUGAAUGACCUUCUCUGAGUAGUUUGUAUCUGAGGCAAUUCCAAAUUCUCAAAAGAUUGUUGCCUAUGGCCUGUCUCACCGCUGCCUCAGAAUGAGACAUCUGCAGGUAACCACCCACCCAUUUAAAACACUAAGCCUGACCACCGCACAGUUGACGGCAGAGCUGUGAACGGAGAUGGAAUGCUAAGCAGUACCAGUGGCAUCAGGAACUCACAGGGCAGGAAGCUUUCUGCAAUGGGCAAGACAGUGUGGCAGGAGGAACUGUCCCCAAAGCCAACAGUGUUCCCUUGAAGAACAGCGAGAGGCAGACAGCAGGGCUCUCCUUUGCCCUGGAUCUCCUUUUUUCUGGCCGCCCACCUCCGUACCCCGGUUCUGAUGUGCAUGAUAUUUCCAGUGAGUUAACAAACGUAAGAAAUCUGAUUGUGGAUUAGAGUUUCAUCUUGUGCAGUUGAGAAGGGGGCAUGGGUAUUGAUUCUGAUCACAUGUUCCCUUUCUCUGCCGCUGUCCUGGGUUCUUUGAUUAUCACAUCUCAUGAGGUGUGCACCUCUAACACCACACAUACAGAGCAGUGAAGACCCUGAAGUCCUGAGAUGGCAAGUGGCAGACUC